GUGCUCACUUUGACAGCACAUCUGCUAAAAUUAAAAUGGCACAGGAAUUAGCAUGACCCCUGUACAAGAAUGACAUGAAAAUUCUUGAAGUACUCCAUAUUUCA
ensembl:snRNA U6 U6 spliceosomal RNA